CAGUAGCCACGGUAAAACGGAGGGGGCUAGCGUUGUUCGGAAUUACUGGGCGUAAAGCGCACGUAGGCGGCUUGGUAAGUUAGAGGUGAAAGCCCGGAGCUCAACUCCGGAAUUGCCUUUAAGACUGCCGAGCUAGUAGGUGAGAGAGGUAAGUGGAAUUCCGAGUGUAGAGGUGAAAUUCGUAGAUAUUCGGAAGAACACCAGUGGCGAAGGCGGCUUACUGGCUCAUUCUAGACGCUGAGGUGCGAAAGCGUGGGGAGCAAACAGGAUUAGAUACCCCGGUAGUCCCUGUCUCUUAUAC
rnacentral:rRNA from 1 species